AAGAGUAUGAAAGCCACAGUACUCUGUUGAAGCUGAAAAUGCAGGGUGAUGCAUUUGCACGCCACCGACGAAGACAGGAAGAGAAUCUGGAACCAGAUAAAAUACGCUCAACAGAUCCAUAAUAGACAUAAGGUUUGCCCAGCUAGACGCCAAUACGGAGCUAGUAGCAGAAAUGGACACCAAAGAUGUGAAAACACUUCCCGUGUGUACAUUCAUAUCCUGGUUGUGCAGUUGGACUAACAGCAGACAUGUCCAUGUCUUGUUACCUGAAGGUAUGAAAUGCAGAUUGACUGAACUUAAUUACUUUACCUUCUUCCUCGGUGCGUGGGAGCUGAUACUGAGAAAGGGGACCAUUACAUCCUUUAGGUCUUUGAUGGUGCGUCCAAGCAGAUCAGAGUGUACAACUCAAAAGGCUCCCGCCAAGGCAUCAGGUCAGAGGGUCUGGACUUGCUGAGCAAUGCCUUCUGGGAACGUAUGGGAUCUGAGUGAAUCAUAAAGGCGCCGGAGGGGAUGGCUGCCGUUUUACGGGCUGCUAACCAACUGUGUGCUAUUUUUUAUUUUUUUGCAUCGUUUGAAACUUAUUUCAUACAUAUUGUUGCUGCUACCGUCUCUUAUGACCGAAAAGAGCUUCUGGAUAUCAGAACAGCGAUUACUCACCUCAAACUGGACAAAGAUAUUUUCUUUAAUGAGUCUGACGCAAAGGACAUACUGCUUCUCCGAGACCAGGCCCAAUAUCCCUGUCAUUCACGUGAAGAAAAGACGGAAAUGCAGGGGGCGGAGAUCGGGUGCCUUGUGAGAAUUCGUUGGCGAGUGGGUAACCCGCCUCUACGAUCUCCAUC